GACGAACGCUGGCGGCGCGCUUAACACAUGCAAGUCGAACGGAAAGGCCUGCUUUCCCUUGUGGAUUGCGGGUACUCGAGUGGCGAACGGGUGAGUAACACGUGAGUGAUCUGCCCCCAACUUGGGUAUAAGCCUGGGAAACUGGGUCUAAUUCCCGAUAGGACUGCAGGGUGGUGCCUGUGGUGGAAAACGAUUUUCUAGUGGUUGGGGAUGAGCUCGCGGCCUAUCAGCUUGUUGGUGGGGUAAUGGCCUACCAAGGCGGCGACGGGUAGCCGGCCUGAGAGGGUGGACGGCCACAUUGGGACUGGGAUACGGCCCAGACUCCUACGGGAGGCAGCAGUGGGGAAUAUUGCACAAUGGGCGGAAGCCUGAUGCAGCGACGCCGCGUGGGGGAUGACGGCCUUCGGGUUGUAAACUCCUUUCGACCGAGAGGAAGCCACGUGGUUGGAAGGGUGGUGACGGUAGUGGUAGAAGAAGCACCGGCUAACUACGUG
rnacentral:rRNA from 1 species